UACGUAGGGUGCGAGCGUUAAUCGGAAUUACUGGGCGUAAAGCGUGCGCAGGCGGUGAUGUAAGACAGAUGUGAAAUCCCCGGGCUCAACCUGGGAACUGCAUUUGUGACUGCAUCGCUGGAGUGCGGCAGAGGGGGAUGGAAUUCCGCGUGUAGCAGUGAAAUGCGUAGAUAUGCGGAGGAACACCGAUGGCGAAGGCAAUCCCCUGGGCCUGCACUGACGCUCAUGCGCGAAAGCGUGGGGAGCAAACAGGAUUAGAUACCCUGGUAGUCCACGCCCUAAACGAUGUCAACUGGUUGUUGGGUCUUCACUGACUCAGUAACGAAGCUAACGCGUGAAGUUGACCGCCUGGGGAGUACGGCCGCAAGGUUGAAACUC
rnacentral:rRNA from 1 species